AACCGAGUCUUAAUUGGGCGUUAAGUUGCAGGGUAUAGACCCGAAACCCGGUGAUCUAGCCAUGGGCAGGUUGAAGGUUGGGUAACACUAACUGGAGGACCGAACCGACUAAUGUUGAAAAAUUAGCGGAUGACCUGUGGCUGGGGGUGAAAGGCCAAUCAAACCGGGAGAUAGCUGGUUCUCCCCGAAAGCUAUUUAGGUAGCGCCUCGUGAAUUCAUCUCCGGGGGUAGAGCACUGUUUCGGCUAGGGGGCCAUCCCGGCUUACCAACCCGAUGCAAACUGCGAAUACCGGAGAAUGUUAUCACGGGAGACACACGGCGGGUGCUAACGUCCGUCGUGAAGAGGGAAACAACCCAGACCGCCAGCUAAGGUCCCAAAGUCAUGGUUAAGUGGGAAACGAUGUGGGAAGGCCCAGACAGCCAGGAUGUUGGCUUAGAAGCAGCCAUCAUUUAAAGAAAGCGUAAUAGCUCACUGGUCGAGUCGGCCUGCGCGGAAGAUGUAACGGGGCUAAACCAUGCACCGAAGCUGCGGCAGCGACACUCAGGUGUUGUUGGGUAGGGGAGCGUUCUGUAAGCCUGUGAAGGUGGCCUGUGAGGGUUGCUGGAGGUAUCAGAAGUGCGAAUGCUGACAUAAGUAACGAUAAAGCGGGUGAAAAGCCCGCUCGCCGGAAGACCAAGGGUUCCUGUCCAACGUUAAUCGGGGCAGGGUGAGUCGACCCCUAAGGCGAGGCCGAAAGGCGUAGUCGAUGGGAAACGGGUUAAUAUUCCCGUACUUGGUGUUACUGCGAAGGGGGGACGGAGAAGGCUAUGUUGGCCGGGCGACGGUUGUCCCGGUUUAAGCGUGUAGGCUGGUUUUCCAGGCAAAUCCGGAAAAUCAAGGCUGAGGCGUGACGACGAGGCACUACGGUGCUGAAGCAACAAAUGCCCUGCUUCCAGGAAAAGCCUCUAAGCAUCAGGUAACAUCAAAUCGUACCCCAAACCGACACAGGUGGUCAGGUAGAGAAUACCAAGGCGCUUGAGAGAACUCGGGUGAAGGAACUAGGCAAAAUGGUGCCGUAACUUCGGGAGAAGGCACGCUGACACGUAGGUGAAGUGAUUUACUCAUGGAGCUGAAGUCAGUCGAAGAUACCAGCUGGCUGCAACUGUUUAUUAAAAACACAGCACUGUGCAAACACGAAAGUGGACGUAUACGGUGUGACGCCUGCCCGGUGCCGGAAGGUUAAUUGAUGGGGUCAGCGCAAGCGAAGCUCCUGAUCGAAGCCCCGGUAAACGGCGGCCGUAACUAUAACGGUCCUAAGGUAGCGAAAUUCCUUGUCGGGUAAGUUCCGACCUGCACGAAUGGCGUAAUGAUGGCCAGGCUGUCUCCACCCGAGACUCAGUGAAAUUGAACUCGCUGUGAAGAUGCAGUGUACCCGCGGCAAGACGGAAAGACCCCGUGAACCUUUACUAUAGCUUGACACUGAACAUUGAGCCUUGAUGUGUAGGAUAGGUGGGAGGCUUUGAAGCGUGGACGCCAGUCUGCGUGGAGCCGACCUUGAAAUACCACCCUUUAAUGUUUGAUGUUCUAACGUGGACCCGU
rnacentral:rRNA from 1 species